UGAAGCUCCAGUGUAAAGGCUGCUGUGUGUGACGCUCAUGUGUGAAGCUUCAGUGUAAAGGCUGCUGUGUGUGAAGCUCAUGCGUGAAGCUCCAGUGUGAAGGCUGCUGUGUGUGAAGCUCAUGUGUGAAGUUCCAGUGUGAAGGCUGCUGUGUUUAAAGGUACUGUGUGAAGCUUCUGUGUAAGUUCGGUUGAAUGAGCUUGGCAAUUCCUUCCCCACAAAACUCUCCCGCUUGCGUCCUCAACCAACCGGUUACCCCUUUCCACAGCUGCGCAUCGUCACCAAAACGGCUGGUUGAGGACGCAAGCAGCAGAGUUUUGUGGGGAAGGAGUUGCCAAGCUCAUUCAUCGCUAUGAUAAGUGCCUAGAUUUGAAUGGCGACUAUGUUGAGAAGUGGUAUUUGGGUGUGGCUUUCAACUGCAUAUGGUAAAUGUUUUCUCCUAUAUUUUGUUCAUUUUUAAUUCCAAAACGUAAUCUACUUUCUGGAUAGCCCUCGUAUAGGUCAGUUAGUGAACAACAAUGGCAGAUUUCUUUACUCAUUGUGUAUGUGAGGGCAAGCAGCGAUAGCCGGAGAGUUCCAGGAAAGAGAUGUUGCACAUUGUGCUCGGCACCAAGGCCGCCCUCACCUGAGCUCAAUCUUGUGGAUCUCUGCAAUCUUCUUUUCCAGCUUUUCUGAAUGUUUAGGGAAAAACUGGAACUUGGAGCUAUAGCCCUCAGGAUGCUUCCCGGGGUCGUAGUCGCCGAUCUCCGCUGAAAGAAGAACAAGAAGAAGAGAUGCCUUGAGAAAUGAGUGCAUCCAAAAGCACAUGGACAAUUUCAACAGAAAAAGAAGAAACCAUGAAAAUUUGGCUACCACUAUUGAAAAAUAACAUAAUCAAGACCGUGACUAAUGAAUGAACCCCACCCAGACAAAGGAGGUCUCCAGGCACCGGGCCGGGCUGUGGCGCAAGCUGGUUAGCAGCCAGCUGCAAUAAAUCACUCUGAACAAGAGGUCAUGAGUUCGAGGCCAGCUUGUGUCGGGGUGAGCACCUGACAAUUAAAAUAAAAUAUAGCCCCUGCUCAUUGUUGACCUAAGCAACCCGAAAGAUAGUUGCAUCUAUCAAGUAGGAAAUUUAGGUACCACUUAUAUAUGGGGAGGCUAAUUUACGACACCAUAAAAAUCAUCCAGCCGCCAUUGGAAUCCCACUCAGCACAUGCAAAUUACGCUUGCUAAUUGCACCCUUCGCACUUGUUGAACAAACAAGGCUUCUUUCCUCCCACCCUGGACUUUAUUCCACAGAUAUAUUAGAUACCGUAUAUACUCGAGUAUAAGCCGACCCGAAUAUAAGCCGAGGCACCUAAUUUUACCACAAAAAAAAUGGGAAAACAUUGAUUCCAGUAUAAGCCGAGGGCGGUAAAUUUCAGAAAUAAAAAUAGAUACCAAUAAAAUUACAUUAAUUGAGGCAUCGGUAGGUUAAAUGUUUUUGAAUAUUUACAUAAAGCUCUAAUUUAAGAUAAGACUGUCCAACUCUGAUCACAUCAUUAUUCUCAUCUUCUUCAAUGUCAAUGUGCUUGUGUAUCCUUUUAAUAAUAAUAGAGUAAAAUAAUACAUGUAAUAAUAAUAAAUAAAUAAUACAGGAAAAUAAUACAUGUAAUAAUAAAUGGAGUAAAAUAAUAAAUAUAAUAAUAAAAAUAAGAUCAGAGUGAAAUAAUAAAUGUAUUAAUAAUAAUUUAAGAUAAAGACUGUCCAACUCUGAUCACAUCAUUAUUCUCAUCUUCUUCAAUGUAAAUGUGCUUAUGUAUCCUUUUAAUAAUAAUAGAGUAAAAUAAUACAUGUAAUAAUAAUAAUAAUAAUAAAUACAGGAAAUAAUACAAGUAAUAAUAAAUAGAAUAAAAUAAUAAAUGCAAUAAUAAUAAUAAGAUCAGAGUGAAAUAAUAAAUGUAUUAUUAAUAAUAAUAAAAAUAGAGUAAAACAAAUGUACUGUAGAGUCUCACUUAUCCAACAUAAAUGGGCCGGCAGAACGUUGGAUAAGCAAAUAUGUUGGAUAAUAAGGAGGGAUUAAGGAAAAGCCUAUUAAACAUCAAAUUAGUUUAUGAUUUUACAAAUGAAGCACCAAAACAUCAUGUUAGACAACAAAUUUGGCCGAAAAGGUACUUCAAUAUGCAGUAAUGCUAUGUAGUAAUUACUGUAUUUAUGAAUUUAGCACCAAAAUAUCAUGAUGUAUUGAAAACAUAGACUACAAAAAGGCGUUGGAUAAUCCAGAACGUUGGAUAAGCGAAUGUUGGAUAAGUGAGACUCUACUGUAAUAGUAGCAACAAUAAUAGAGAAAAGUAAUAAAUGUAAUAAUACCAAUAAUAAUAGAGAAAAAUAAUAAAUGUACCAUACAUUCUCGAGUAUAAGCUGACCCAAAUAUAAGCCAACCAGGACCCUCACCCGAGUAUAAGCUGAGGGGGGCUUUUUCAGUCUUAAAAAAAGGGCUGAAUAACUAGGCUUAUACUCGAGUAUAGACAAUACUCCACUUGCUUGACUACCAUCAGAUCCUCUGAAGAUGCCAGCCACAGAUGCAGGCGAAACGUCAGGGGGGAAAAAAUGCUGCCAGAACAUGACCAUACAUGUAUUGAUCGAUUUUCGACGAAUUUUAAAAUUCUGUUUUAAUGUUUUUAUAUUUGUUAAAUUGUACAGAACUGGUUUUAAUGUAUGCCGUUAAAAUGUACAGAAUUGUACAGAACUGGUUUUAAUGUAUGCCGCUUUGAGUCUCCUGUUGAGAUACAUCAACAACAACAACAGCAAUAAUAAUAACACAGCACGGAAACCACAUAGCACCCCAUGGUUUCGGCCGUGAAAGCCUUUGACAAUACAGUGGGCAGUUGAUGUGGGUCGAAGUGCUGGAAGGGAGGGAUCUGUGAUCUUUUUGGUUUUGCGCAAAGUGAGCUUACCUUGAAGGAUGUGGGCGGCGAGGAGAGCGGCGUCGGAGGUCUUGCAGAGGAGGCGCCCGUGAUAGAGGUCCCUUUUGAUCUGCAAGAAGACCAGAUACCUGGCAAGGAAACCACAGCAAACGGGGGUUAGAGCCUUUCGAGUCCGUCCCGGCCGCAAGAGAAGAGCCAGAGAAGUUAAAGGGAUGUCAAACUGCAUGAAUUACCUAAGUACGGAUGCUCCCUUGCUAAGAAAACCGAUCCUGGAUUUGCCAUGAGCCAGAGUCACUUGAAGGCAUACAACAACAACAAAACCAGAUACCAUAUAUACUCGAGUAUAAGCUGACCUGAAUAUAAGCCAAGGCACCUAAUUUUACCACAAAAAAACCAGGGAAAAACCUAUUGACUCAAGUAUAAGCCGAGGGAUAUCUCCAGUCAAAAGGCCCUUCGGAGUUUAGGAAAGACUGGGAGCCCUUCAAAAGGUUUUUUAGAAGGAAAGAUAUGAAUUUUAACAAGAACCAAGAGAUUCUAUUCAACUACAGUAGAGUCUCACUUAUCCAACACUCACUUAUCCAACGUUCUGGAUUAUCCAACGCAUUUUUGUAGUCAAUGUUUUCAAUAUAUCAUGAUAUUUUGGUGCUAAAUUCGUAAAUACAGUAAUUACUACAUAGCA